UUUCAGUAACUUUUCGAAGAUAUUUUGUUACAAGUUAUUCCGAUAAUCGAUUAAAAGCAGGCUUAGAUUAGUGAUUAUUCAGCAUAAACGAGACACGUGGCAAGCCAGAGCUGCAGCACGUGCCCUGUACCACCGCCAUUCUUUUCUUUUAAUUCCAGUUCUCCCCUUUCCCUUUUAUUUCCACGUUAAUCUCUCCUCACCCCCUCUGCUAAUCUCUCACACUCUCUCCCGUACAUAUCUCCUCCAUUCCUCUUCCACCUUUGUUCCCCGUUCUUUUCUUUUCCCCCGAAACCCGCCGCCGCCGCUGUUCAAACUCCGGCCAGUCGCCGGCACCACCACUGUGUUGUUUCUUCUGAUUAAUUCACCCGCGAUUCUUCGAGUUCCUAGGCAAUCCAGACGCAGGCUUGCUGUUUUCGGACGAAUCCAGCCCUGUUCUUCAGCCUCCAGUGUUGUGUUAGCGCGGUAUAACCCAGUCUCGUGUAUAUAAUUCGAUUAUUAUGAUUUUGGUUAUUUGGGUCGGAUUGAGUUGUUGAUUGGAUGCUUAAAUUCGGAUUAAUGUUAGUUAAUUUCUACUAAUAUUAAUACUUAAAAUCAGGAUUGUGUCUAUAAUUAGCCGGUUGUUAUAUGUGUGUAUUAUACGUGCUUGUUAAAUGUGAAUUUGUAUAUGAGACUCGGAUAUAAUUUUGUGUUGGUAGUAACUAUCGGGACCACUAAGUUAUUUUAAUUUAAUUGUUGAUUGAUGUUUGAUUUGGAUUGUUGGGUUUACAAGUUAGUAAUUAUCUUUCGAGGAUUAGAAGUAAAAUUUUGAUGAUACAUCUAUGUAUGCCUCGACUUUUCGGGUAUAUGUGUUUAUAUUAUUAAAAUUUAUAUUUUUAUAAUGUGAUAAUUGAUUAUUAACUUUUCGUGCCUAGUUGAUCCUGUAAGUCUUAUUAAACGUAUUUUAUGUAUAGUAAAUUAGCAAUCCUGCUAAAAGUUUUCUUAUGUGUUUACAAGAAGAUAGUAAAUUAGCAAUCCUGCAAGGCGGAUUUUCUUAUGUGUUAUGUGUUUACUGCAAGUCAAGGCAGAUUUUCUAAUAUAUUAAGCCAUAUUAGUGGCUAUUCUUGGUAUUGAAAACAGGUGGAUAGUCCUAUAAACAGAGGAGGUGCUGCCGAAAUUUUGUUAGAAAUUAUAUGCAUUUAGACUAUUUAAAGGUGUUUGAUAGAUAAUAAGUAGAGACAAUAAUAUUGGUAUACAUGUCUACGUGAUACGUGAUCACUAGUAAUCUUUAAUAAUUAUAAAAGUAUUUCUUGGUUGACUAAGUUCUAUGUGUUUGGCUGAAAUUUAUGUUUAUAUAAACGAAGGGUAGUGAUUAAGUGAUAUUGAGGAUAUGACUUUGGAUUCAAAUAGUUAAGACCCAGUCUUCUAUCCUGUAGGUUCCGGUUAGAGAGCCUAACAGUAUAGUGCAGUCUUAUCUCUAGCAUUCUAUUAUCAAGGCAAGUAUUUCUAUCCUACUUCUCUAGUACCUAUAGAUACUAAAACCUUCUUUAUAUCAUGAUUCAAAUUAUUUGCAAUUACUCUCUUGUGAAGCAUAUCUAGUAUUUCCAAACUUUUUGGUUGAACGGAUAACACUUUUGGUAUCGACUCUACACUAUUAUAUGCAUAAAGAAAUUGUUUUAACAAAAUGUUAUUUUGGCUCUUGAAUUACAUGAUGGAACUGCAGAUUGUUCUAAAAAUUAAACUAUUGGGUUGUUUUUGCGUAAGAGGCUCGGGCACCGGCCCAGCGUGAAAGGUGGCUCCUUAAGCCCGGAUUACCGGAAUUCGUAAUAUUUGUCAACCUUGCUGAAUAAGCUUGGUUUAUGGACUAUAGCAUGACUGAUCAUCUGUUAUAGCCAGGUGUCCAAUGAUUUUUAAAGCCCAAUAAAAUUGUGAAUAGUUAAAGAGAGGUUAUCCUGCCUUCAAGAGAUAUUUGCUUAUACAUUCAUUUCUGCAGUUUUAAAUAUUUUCACUUCUUUAUUAUGGCAUUGCUGUACAACAAAUAUCAAUUUCAUUCUGUUAUACUUGCUGAGCAUUUCUUUGGCUCAUACCUGUUUAUUUUCAAACUAACCCCUUUCAGAUGCCAAGGAUUAGAGCAGCUGCUUAUAAGGUUUCCCAGAGUUAUCUUUUGUGCUAGGAAAAUCGCAGGAUGAUGCUAGGAGUCUUGGACUAAGUGUGGAUUAGUUAGUACGACUUGUUUCUUUGAAGUUGUAUUAUAGUGUCAGUAUGGUUGUAGUGGAAAACUCAUGUGGUAAGGAACCUAUGUCGUCGUUCGUUUGCAGUAACAGUUUAAACCUUUCGCAGACUUAAACCUGGGAAGAUCUUUGGUCAGGGGUGUAAUGGUAA
rnacentral:lncRNA from 1 species